rnacentral:tRNA from 1 species
GGCCUUCUGGUUAAAACACAAGGCUGAUAACUUGAUGGCCGUAGGUUCGGACCC